GAGGUAUUGAGGGCUCCGCCCCAGGAUGUGAGGUGUGGUUGUCCAGCUUUUGCCAAAGCGGAAACGCUUCGGGCCCCGGGCCGGUGUAUCUGUUUCAACCGGGAGAUUCUGUUUUACAAAAGGUAAGUCACGGAGAGGCCGCCCCUCUGCGCUGGGCGGCAAAGACUCUGAUUCUGUGUGAGACCGCGUCUCGGCGCAGCCAUUUGUCCCUCGGCUCUCGCCGUAGCGGCCGCCGCCCAUCCCUCUUUGUGUGCUUGGGACGCCGCGGAUCUGCGGCGGCGACAGUUGGAGAGGGACGUUCCCGGGAAGUUACCGGCCAGAGAAAGCGAUCUCCACUCCGCCACCUGACAGGUCACAACCAUGUCGGACAAAAGUGAUUUAAAAGCUGAGUUGGAACGUAAGAAGCAACGGUUGGCCCAAAUCAGAGAAGAAAAGAAGAGGAAAGAAGAGGAAAGGAAAAAAAAGGAAACUGAUCAGAAGAAGGAAGCUGCUGUUUCUGUACAAGAAGAGUCUGAUCUUGAAAAAAAAAGAAGAGAAGCUGAGGCAUUGCUUCAAAGCAUGGGACUAACUACGGACUCCCCUAUUGUUUUUUCUGAGUACUGGGUCCCUCCUCCUAUGUCUCCAUCCUCCAAGUCGGUGAGCACGCCAAGUGAAGCUGGAAGCCAGGAUUCUGGAGAUGGCGCCGUGGGAUCUAGGACGCUGCAUUGGGAUACAGAUCCAUCAGUUCUUCAGCUUCACUCAGAUUCCGAUUUGGGACGAGGACCUAUUAAACUUGGAAUGGCCAAAAUUACUCAAGUUGACUUUCCCCCUCGAGAAAUCGUCACAUACACAAAGGAAACUCAGACCCCGGUUACAGCUCAACCCAAAGAAGAUGAGGAGGAGGAAGAUGAUGUAGCAACUCCUAAACCUCCUGUUGAACCUGAAGAAGAGAAAACUUUGAAAAAAGACGAAGAGAAUGAUAGCAAAGCUCCACCUCAUGAACUAACUGAAGAAGAAAAGCAACAGAUUUUACACUCAGAAGAAUUUUUAAGUUUCUUUGACCAUUCUACGAGAAUUGUAGAAAGAGCCCUUUCUGAGCAGAUUAACAUCUUCUUUGACUACAGUGGGAGAGACUUGGAAGACAAAGAAGGGGAGAUUCAAGCAGGUGCUAAGCUGUCAUUAAAUCGACAGUUCUUUGAUGAGCGUUGGUCAAAGCAUCGAGUUGUUAGUUGUUUGGAUUGGUCAUCCCAGUAUCCAGAAUUACUUGUGGCUUCCUAUAAUAACAAUGAAGAGGCUCCUCAUGAGCCUGAUGGUGUGGCCCUCGUGUGGAAUAUGAAGUACAAAAAAACUACCCCAGAGUAUGUGUUCCACUGCCAGUCAGCUGUAAUGUCUGCUACAUUUGCAAAAUUUCAUCCGAAUCUUGUUGUUGGAGGUACAUAUUCAGGCCAGAUUGUGCUUUGGGAUAACCGCAGCAAUAAAAGAACUCCUGUCCAGAGAACGCCGCUGUCAGCUGCUGCACACACACACCCUGUCUACUGUGUAAAUGUUGUUGGAACACAAAAUGCUCACAAUCUGAUUAGCAUCUCUACUGAUGGAAAAAUUUGUUCCUGGAGUUUGGACAUGCUUUCCCAUCCACAGGAUAGCAUGGAGUUGGUUCAUAAACAGUCAAAGGCAGUAGCUGUAACAUCUAUGUCUUUCCCUGUUGGAGACGUCAACAACUUUGUUGUGGGCAGUGAAGAAGGUUCUGUGUAUACAGCAUGCCGCCAUGGCAGCAAAGCUGGAAUCAGUGAGAUGUUUGAGGGACACCAGGGACCCAUCACUGGAAUCCACUGUCACGCGGCUGUUGGAGCAGUAGACUUCUCACAUCUGUUUGUCACUUCGUCUUUUGACUGGACAGUUAAACUUUGGACAACUAAGGUUGUCUUCCAACCUGUCUCCACACCUGCUCCCACACGCAAGUCUGUGAGCUUUAAGAGUGAAUGAGACCCAGACGAGAGCAGGAGACCGUGCUUCAUCACCUGCACCUGAACUGCUCAGUAUACUUGGAAAGAUGGUGAACUCUCCUGGACUCUGCUGUUCUCAGACUGCUCCGUAUCACAGCACCAAAUGUGCACCUGCGCCAUGGCUGUCAGUCACUUCUUCCCACACAGAUGCUGAUACUGUUUCGGUCUUUCAGCUUGCAGAGCUUAUAGUCAAAGUCUGCCUCAUUUUUGCUGGAGACUCUGUGAGGCUUUGCUUUUGUUCUCCGUGUGGCUUUAUCUGCUUCCAUAUGGAGAUUUCCAGGAGAGUCAAGAAGGCCAGUCCCUCUGCUGUCAUCUUCCAGGAACUGCUCACUGACAAGUGUUCUAAGGCCCAUCUUAUCCCUUUUUCAAAGACAGUAGGACCACUACUAGCUAGAAGGAAAAUGCCACCUAGUACUUAGUUCAUUAGGGAGACAGUCUAGGCUGAGUUGGUAUGAAACUGCCUUAGGAUCUCUGCUGUGUGUCGGGGAUGAGUGGGUAAGGAUUUCUGUGCAUCUCGUGUGCUGACUGUGGUAAAAAUGAUCUUUUCCUUUUCAGAAUAACAAGCCUUUGUACUCAUUUGAAGAUAAUUCAGACUAUGUCUAUGAUGUUAUGUGGUCACCCACCCACCCAGCCCUGUUUGCCUGUGUGGACGGCAUGGGGAGACUGGAUCUAUGGAAUCUCAACAAUGACACAGAGGUACCAACUGCCAGCAUUUCUGUGGAGGGCAACCCUGCUCUUAACCGUGUGAGAUGGACCCACUCAGGAAGAGAAAUUGCCGUGGGUGAUUCUGAAGGACAGAUUGUCAUCUAUGAUGUGGGAGAGCAGAUCGCUGUUCCCCGAAAUGAUGAAUGGGCAAGAUUUGGCCGAACACUCGCAGAAAUUAACGCAAACCGAGCUGACGCAGAGGAGGAGGCAGCUACCCGAAUCCCUGCCUAGCCUGAAAAGCGGCUGUAGCCUUAGCAAAUUUGGCAAAAAUGAUUAAGUAGAUCUCAAACUAUUUGCAUGCUUCUGAUUAAAUGAGUGUUAAAAGAAAAUGCCAUGGAUAAUCUGGGUUUAAUACAGGAAGCAAAGCUUACAAUGCCUUUUUAUAUUAUAUUCACUUUGUUUUGGAUUGGUGUCAUUUUUAAUACAGCUGACAACUUUACAGAAUGCAGCCUUUUCUGAAUUCUAACACUUGGGUGUAUAUUGUUAAUUAUUCUUUUGGAUUCUUUUGAACUUGUAAUACUAUAUAUAAUUAUUUCUAAAGCACAGAUUAAGUAAGUUCUGCAUAUUUCUAAGUAGCCACAAUUCCUUAUUCCGCACUAAGUACAUACCUCCGUGUCAGUGGUGUUCUUCCUGUCCAAGUGUAUAGGAAUAUUGUUCCCUCCCCGCAUGCCGUCGCCUACCUGUUGUAAGUUUCAUGUUGAUGCCAUUUCCCUUCUCGAUAGUUCUAUGGUAGUUAUCUAUAAAUAAAAACAAAUAUAUGCUAACUUCUCAAA